AGAGGUCGUCGCCCCCUACCUAGUCUAUUCUUUCAAGAUCUGGAGAGGAAAGAGCCGCGUCGCCGCGCCCUCGCCUUCGCCUCGUCUUCCUCAGCACCGACGACACAACAGAUCUGCCCUCACCUUCGUCUCUUCUUCUUCAACACCCUAGGCUUCAAAUCGCGGUCACAUUCUGCAACAAUAUUCAAAAUCUCAAACUUCCAUGGCCAACAAACUUCAAAAACUCCAGAUCCCACAAAUUCAACAUACCUCGCAAAAAGCGACCAUGGGAAGAAAGGCUGCGAGAGAUAGACGAGCCCUAAUUUCUGGCGAGGUGGAGACGGGCGAGGGAGAGGACGGAGGUCACCGGACUUCGAGUAAAGAGAGGGGCGGAGGCUACGAGAUAUAUGCAGUCGCCGGACUUCGAGUAAAGAGAGGGGCUAAGGUAGCGGCGACGGCGAGGCUGGGAGCGCGGAGGCCGGAGGCGAGGCUGGAGGGUGGAAGCGGCGGGAGGGUGGAGGCAGCGAGAGGGAGAGACCGAAGUGGGAGAGAGAG
rnacentral:lncRNA from 1 species